CCGCACAACCCCCCCCCCCCCCACACACACACACACGCUGGUGGCCCAGGCGCCGCCUCCAUGCUACCUCCCUCUCCCUUGGUCGUCGGUGGCCCAACACGACCUCCUCGAUACGGAUUCGGCGGGUCCCUUAUCACCGAGCUAGCCACUAUUACUGUUGUCACUGAUUUGAGCGUCUUCCGGUCCCGCCGUGUGCCGGUCUUCGUUGCGUUAUCUCAUUCCAGUUUUGUACGUUGUGGUGCUUCGGCCUUCGUGCCUCGGUUAUUGUUUGGCGUCACUAAUUUAGCCGUAUUCUGCUCUUGUUGUUUUCCAGGUCUGCGUGUCGGUGUGUCAUCUCGGCCUGCGUGUCAAAGUCAUGUCCCGGCCUACGUGCUGGUCUCGCAUCCCGGCCUGCGUGCCAAGCCCGUUUUCCUGUCUGUGUGUCGAGUUCGUGUCCCCGCCUGCGUGCCGUCAAUACCUCUCGGCCCGCGUGUCGGUACCUUAUCCCGGUCUGUGUGCCGGUAUUAUAUCCCGACCUGCCACUCGUCUUCCGGAUCCGUGCCUCGUUCAGCUUCUCGUCAUCAGAUCCAGCUCUCCAUCCUGAUCGGGCGUCGUCUACUCUUCCAGGUUCCGACAACUCGCACUGCGUCCCAUCCGAAGGCGCCCCCUGGGCCAAGGUACGUUCUCUGUUCAUAUUUCUAUGCAUAUUUCAUUAUUUUAUGGCUUAGUCUUGUACUCAUAUAUUCGUUGGAUCUGUCUCGAAUAUCGGGGUACCGGGGGCUGCGUCAACCCGGUCGCUGGCUGCAGGUAACGGUGACCAGAGGACUUUUGAAGACUUGGUCAACAUAAAAGUCAUCUCAGCACACUCUCCUCGGGACAUCACGACUCAAUCAACAUUCUCACCACCUCCCCCGACGAUCCAUCCUACUCAACUUCCGGAUCGGAUCAUCUGAUAUAAGAGUUAACUCAUGCGGAUGGAGGCUUCGCACUCCAAUUAAUUCAACUCUCUCUUUCUUGCUCGUUUUUGAAGUUCGACUCAAUCAACACAAAUACAGUUCACCAAUGGCUCACUCAUCGGCGGCGGCGACCGCCAGGAACACAUGAAAUUGUAUUCCUAUAC